UACGAAGGGGGCUAGCGUUGCUCGGAUUGACUGGGCGUAAAGGGCGCGUAGGCGGUUCGUACAGUCAGACGUGAAAUUCCUGGGCUCAACCUGGGGGCUGCGUUUGAUACGUGCGGACUUGAGUGCGGAAGAGGGUCGUGGAAUUCCCAGUGUAGAGGUGAAAUUCGUAGAUAUUGGGAAGAACACCGGUGGCGAAGGCGGCUCCACUCGGCCCGUAACUGGACGCAUCAUG
rnacentral:rRNA from 1 species